rnacentral:rRNA from 1 species
UCCGUAGGUGGAUGAUUAAGUCAGAGGUGAAAUCCUGCAGCUCAACUGUAGAAUUGCCUUUGAUACUGGUCGUCUUGAGUCAUUGUGAAGUAGUUAGAAUAUGUAGUGUAGCGGUGAAAUGCAUAGAUAUUACAUAGAAUACCAAUUGCGAAGGCAGAUUACUAACAAUGCACUGACACUGAUGGACGAAAGCGUGGGGAGCGAACAGGAUUAGAUACCCUGGUAGUCC